ACGAACGCUGGCGGCACGCCUAACACAUGCAAGUCGAACGAAGCAUAAGAGCUUGCUCUUAUGACUGAGUGGCGCACGGGUGAGUAACACGUGGGAAUCUGCCUAUCGGUGGGGAAUAACUUUUGGAAACGAAAGCUAAUACCGCAUACGCCCUAAGGGGGAAAGAUUUAUUGCCGAUAGAUGAGCCCGCGCUAGAUUAGCUUGUUGGUGAGGUAAAGGCUCACCAAGGCUACGAUCUAUAGCUGGUCUGAGAGGACGGUCAGCCACACUGGGACUGAGACACGGCCCAGACUCCUACGGGAGGCAGCAGUGGGGAAUAUUGGACAAUGGGGGAAACCCUGAUCCAGCGAUGCCGCGUGAGUGAAGAAGGCCUUCGGGUUGUAAAGCUCUUUUAGAGGGGAUGAUGAUGACGCUACCCUCAGAAAAAGCACCGGCUAACUUCGU
rnacentral:rRNA from 1 species